UACGAAGGGGGGCUAGCGUUGCUCGGAAUUACUGGGCGUAAAGCGUGCGCAGACGGUUGCGUAAGUCAGAUGUGAAAGCCCCGGGCUCAACCUGGGAAUUGCAUUUGAGACUGCGUAGCUAGGGUGCGGAAGAGGGAAGCGGAAUUUCCGGUGUAGCGGUGAAAUGCGUAGAUAUCGGAAGGAACACCAGUGGCGAAAGCGGCUUCCUGGUCCAGCACCGACGUCAGGCACGAAAGCGUGGGGAGCAAACAGG
rnacentral:rRNA from 1 species